AACGAACGCUGGCGGCAUGCCUAACACAUGCAAGUCGAACGAGACCUUCGGGUCUAGUGGCGCACGGGUGCGUAGCGCGUGGGAACCUGCCUUUAGGUUCGGAAUAACUCAGAGAAAUUUGAGCUAAUACCGGAUAAUGUCUUCGGACCAAAGAUUUAUCGCCUUUAGAUGGGCCCGCGUUGGAUUAGCUAGUUGGUGGGGUAAAGGCCUACCAAGGCGACGAUCCAUAGCUGGUCUGAGAGGAUGAUCAGCCACACUGGGACUGAGUCACGGCCCAGACUCCUACGGGAGGCAGCAGUGGGGAAUAUUGGACAAUGGGCGAAAGCCUGAUCCAGCAAUGCCGCGUGAGUGAUGAAGGCCUUAGGGUUGUAAAGCUCUUUACCCGAGAUGAUAAUGACAGUAUCGGGAGAAUAAGCUCCGGCUAACUCCGUGCCAGCAGCCGC
rnacentral:rRNA from 1 species